AUUCCAUUAUGCUUGGUUCCUAAAAGCGAAAAGCAUGGAGGAAAAUAUAAAAAGUUAGAAAAAAAAUAAUUUUUACAUGUUUGAUUUGUUUAUAAAAGAAAAUCAAAUAUAAUUUAAAUUAAUUAAAAAAUUAUAAUUUUUAUAAUUUUUAGUUACAUACUAAAUAUUUUUUAUUUUGAACUCAAAGAAGCUCUUAUGGGACUCAAUAAAAUAUAUGCAUAAGAUUAAAAAUAGAUUAUAUUUAUAUAAUGUUAUAAAGAUACAACGUAUUCGUUGUAUCUCAUGGGAUUGUGAGCCUAAAUCGAUAAACACUUUUCACGAAGUCAAACAAACUUUCACACCAUGAUUGAGAAUUGAUUCUAAUGUCAUUUAUAACGACUUGCAUUCAAUUAUGUAAAUAUUAUUCAAUUUAAAUCCAAAUGGAAGUCUCUAAAGUUGAGAGAAACUUAUAUUUAUAUAUUACUAGAAAUUUUCUCUCUUAUUUAAUAUGAGAAAUUAUAAUACAAACACCACAUCCUCGUUUUAUCAUAUAUGAUUGCCUCUCACAUGAUCAAACAAAUCUCGUAUGAGGAAUGAAGAAUGAAAAUUGACUUUGAUAUAAUUUAUAAUGAUUUAUACCAAAUUGUGUAAAUAUUAUCUAUUUUAAACUCAAAAUAACCCUUGCUAUUUUAAAAUAUAUUUAUAAUAUUAAAGAGGAACUCAUAUUUAUAUAGUAUUAGAAACUUUUUAUCCCAAUUAUUUCUUUAAUUUUUUUCCUCCAUUUUUUUAAACAUAUUUUCCCUUUAAAUUUUUGAGAAACCAAAUAUGAAUUAUGACCCUCAUCUCAUCUUUUGUAAAGCUGGGAUUUUGAAUGUGGAUGAUAGUCCAAAUAAGAAAAAGCACGAUCUUGAAGUGAUACUAAUUGUUUGUGAUGGAAAAGAAAGUAAAUUAUUAAUAUUUUCCCACAAAUAAAAAAAGUAGUGGCAAUAAGAAUAUAACUGACUUGCCGCAUUAGAUAAAAAAAUGAUUGAAUAAUCGAAUUCGAUUUGAGACACAGGGUUUUGUAAUCAUUUAGUCUAAAAAUUCAUCAAGCAAAACAAGUUAUCAAUUCAUUUUGCGAUUAGGUAAAGCGUUGGCAUCAGAAAAGAAAAAAGAAAAAGGAGGUGACCAGAAGCCAGAAACAGUUAUUCCACUCAUCCCCAGGAGAUGGACAAGUCCAAAUAAGAAAAAUGAAAAAGAGACCCCUCUAUAGAAUAAGAAAAGGGAUUGUGACUGAAAAAGAAAGAAAAGUAUUGAAAGGACAGAGGCAGGUUUUGUGUGGGACAGUGUAGUAAAUAAGGAUGGCAAUGGCACAGGUUUUUUUGGGCAAAUUACUCCAGCAUGCAUGACAGUAUUAUGUAGCUUUUACUGUUCAUGGUGAGAUUUCGAAAACUUGAAAAAGAAAGGCUUAGGAUUUUUUUUACAAAAAUAUGAUAGUUUUAAAAAAUAAUUCUUAAAUUAUGAUAGUAGUAAAAAUAAUUUUAAAUCUACCUUAAGUUUUACUAAAAAUAAUUUCAAAUCUACCUUAAUUUUUAUCAAAUAGAAAAGAAAAAAAUAAAAAUUAUUAUUUCCUCUUAAAAUCAUCUUUUCAAAAGAGAAUUUCUAAAAUUCCUUUAAAAAAAUUUUAUAAGCUAAAAUUGUUUAUUGAAGAUAUGAUUUCUAGGGAAAAAAAAAGGAGAAAAAUCGUCUCUUAAUUUCUCUAUUAAAAAAAAAUAUAUAGAAAUCAUUUCUUGAAAAGACGGUUUCUUAAGGAAAAAAAAAAUCGUCUUUUUAAAAGAAAUUUUUUAAAAAGAAUAAUAAAUAAAAAAAUAAGAAAAAUGCGAUUUAUUAAAAAAAAAAAAGAAGAAAGAAAUAGUCUCUUAAAGAGAUGAAGAAGAAUAAAAAAAAGAAAAUAAAAGGUAAAAAGGGAAGGAAAUGGUCUCUUCACUUCCCAUUUCUAUUUUUUAAUAAUGUUAUUAUUAGAUAUAAUUAUUAUAAAUAUAUGUAAUAUAAAAUCAAUUAAUUUUUUUUUACUAAAUUCAAUAUAUAAAAAUAAUUAUAAUUAUCAACAAUAAUAUUUAUAAAAAUAUAAAUUAGAUAUUAAUUUAAAAAAUAUUUUGAUAUUUAUCUCUAAUUUUAUCUUUAAAUUAUUUUAAUUAAUUAUAACUAUAAAUAAAAGUUAAUUUAAUUUUAUUUAUAAGAUAAAUAAUAUUUUAUCUUUUACUUUUUGUUUCUUUUACUUUCGAAUUAAAGAAAAAAGUUAUUAUCAAUUUUAAGUGAAAAUUGAGUUUAUAAAAAAUAAAUUUAUUAUUAAUUUAUUAAAUAAUUAUUUACAAACUAAAUAAUUUUUUUGUUUUAAUUUUAAAGUUAAAUUUAUUAGAUAAGCCUUAAAAUUAAUUUAAAUAAAUUAAAAAUUAAUUGAAUUAAUUUAAAAAAAAUUAGAGAUAAAUACUAAAAUAUUUUUUAAAUCAAUAUCUAAUUUAUAUUUUUAUAAACAUUAUUAUUGAUAAUUAUAAUAAUUUUUAUAUAUUAAAUUUAAUAAAUAAAAUUAACUAAUUUUAUAAUACAUAUAUUUAUAAUAAUUAUAUUUAAUAAUAAUAUUAUUAAAAAAUAGAAAUAGAAAGUAUAUUGAAGAGACAAUUUUUUUUUUUUUAAUAUAUGGGCUCUUUCUUUUUUAUUUUUCUUUUAAGAAAUCAUCUUUUAAAGACACAAUUUCUUCAUAAUUUUUUUUAUAAAGAAAUCAUAUCUUGAAAAGAUAAUUUCUUCCUUAAUUAAUUUUUUUUUUUUAAGAAAUCAUAUCACGAUUUUAGCCUAUAAAUUUUUCUUAGAAGAAUUUUAGAAAUCGAUGGUUUUAAAGGAAAAUAACGAAUUUUAUUUUUCUCUUUCUUACUUAGUAAAAAAUACGGUAGAUUUGAAAUUGUUUUUUUUAUUAUACUAAUUUAAGAAUUGUUUGUUCAAAAUAGCGUAGUCUUGUCAAAAAUCCGAAAGGCAGGUGAGUGCAUGAGUGACAAACACCCAGGUCAAAAGAGGAGACACAGGGACAUAAGAUCGAAAUUUCGCAAUGACUUAAGCAUUUAUCCUAAUGUCGUCAGGGCUCAAUUAUUUGGUCCUCUCUCCCAGGACACAAUUGAUUAAGAAUGACUGAUGAAUGAAGGUCUAUAAAGCUUUCGCAUUUCCUAAAUUAUUUGAGAUAUAAUAAUAAUACAUGAUAGUGACAUUGGCGGGUUGGACUCUACGAUAGUGGUGAAAGCUAAAUCAAUGUCAUCCAGCUUUGCAAACUUUUAUUUUAUUAAAUAUUAUAAAAUAAUUUUCAAAAACUGAUUUUCACAAAAAUAAAUUAAAAAUUUUAGAACAAAAUUAUUUAGGAUUAUUCUUCCCCAGGAGAUGGACAAGGGCAGAGACCCACCGUAGAAUAAGAAAAGGGAUUGUGACUGAAAAACAAAGAAAGUAUUAAAAGGAUAGAGUCAGGGUUUGUGUGGGACAGUGUAGCAAAGGCAAACAUUGAACUUGAAAUCAGUAAAUUACUCCAGCAUGCAUGACAGUAUUCUGUAGCUUUUACUGUUCAUGAUGAGAAUCGCUCGAUUCGUUGGAAAAGUUGAAAAAGAAAGGCAGGUGAGGGCAUGAGUGACACACACCCAGAUCAAAAGAGGAGACACAGUGACAUAAGAUGGAAAUUUCGCAAUGACUUAAGCAUCCACAUUAGCCUAAUGUCGUCAGGGCUCAAUUAUUCGGUCCUCUCUCCCAGGACAGAAAUUGAUUAAGAAUGACUGAUGAAUGAAGGUCUAUAAAGCUUUCACAUUUCCUAAAUUAUUUGGGAUAUAAUAAUAUAUGAUAGUGACAUUGGCGGGUUGAAAUCUAGAAUAGUGGUGAAAGCUAAAUCAAUGUCAUCCAGCUUUGCAAGAGUUAGGCAUUUUUAAGGAGUCGGAAUAUUCCUGGAAUGAUGAUGAAACCAAUUAAUCUGAGGACAUCACCUUGUCACAAUUUCACAACAGUUCGAGCACAGAUGGAAGAAUUGUGUUCCAGAGAUGGGCAGUUUUUUAACCAAAGAAACCUUCGAGUCACUCCUUGGACUCUGCGCCCACUAAGAAUAGUCAUAGCUCUUUCCUUUUUCCUUUCCUCCUUCUCUCCCUCGUAAGCAUUAUUGUUUAAGGCAUAAUUAAAAAGCAAAAGCCAAAAUCAUAGGCAUUCGUCAUGACUAAAAAUGAAAUGUGGCAUUCCACCAUGGGCUUUGAUUAACGAAUAUUACUGUUCAAAGGACAAGCUGUAAAGUCGUCCAUAUUUAUGGGCAAAGUAAAGAAUAAAGAUAAAGAACAUCCACAGUAUUAUCAAAGAUAUUACAAUUCUUGAACUAUCAAUUCCAAAGCCCCGAUCACAUUAAAAAAGAAAAGAGUUACUUUUAUUUUUAUUUUUUAUAUUUUUCCUUAUCAAUUAUAAAAAGUACCUAUUUCUAGAAUAAAAUAUUUUAUUAAAAUAUUUCUUUUACAAUGAAAGAAAAAAAAUGCUUAAAAAGAGAACCGAAGAGACUUGAUGACAAUCUCAAUCAUGACACAAAUUUCCAAAAUUCAAAUAAACUUAAAAUUUCUUUUGUCACUUAGCUUUUAUGCCUUUAAGAGGUCUUCAAAUAUAACAAGAACAAAUUCAGUAGUCACCAAAGGUCAUAUGACCAUCUCAAUCAUGACACCGGAGUUGUUCUUUUUUACUAAAUUGCUCUUUCUUGCUACUAAGGAUUAGACUCAUCAAAGAUCACAUUUUUACUAAUAAAAAAUUUGGAAUAUUAUAAAUAUGAACACCAUAACUUAUAAUUUUUUUUUUUUAUAUAAUCUACGUAUACCUUACCUUUGGUUUCAACUUAUAAUAAAACAAUGAUAAAUGAAUGUUUUAUAAAUUAAUAAACUUGUUAAACACCGUUUGUAUGUUUAUAUAUAAAAGCAUAACUUUUUGAAGUUUCUAAGCAUUAAUUUUUUAUCAUAUUUAUUAUUUUUAGAUUUAUAAGUGAUUUAUGAAUUAGUACUAUAUGAUAGAGACACAAUUUUUUUUUUAUAAAUAAGAAAUAUUCAUUUAUUGAUAAAUUAAUAACCUUGUUAAGGUAAUAAUUUAUUUAUUUAUUUAUUUGUUUCAACAAUAUUAUUUUAUAAUGUUUCAUUGUAUCUUCAUUCACAUUAGUAUGAACAAAAAAACAAAAACAUUCUUAAAUUUGUAUUAUUGGCAAAGGAACCGGAUCUUACCUUUUAAAAAGUCCUUUAACUAAUAGAAAUCAAAAAAUAUAUUUUCACAAAAUAACAAAUUAAAUUGACUAUUACAACUUAAAAUUCUUUUAACAAUCCUACAUUUGAAAGCAUACAUCAUACUUUUUCUAAUAAGGUUCUAUUCAUUUGUUCUAGAAUACUAUUAUAUUUUGGAGUAUGCUUAAUGUGUGGCAUCUCACAAUGCCUUGGCUCUUACAAAAAUAAUUGUAAUAUUUCCUAUGGAAUUUCUUGUCAUUGUUGGAUUUGAAACGUGUAAUUUGUUUCUUGUUUACUUUUAAAUUAUAGUUUUCUAUUAUUCAAACUUCCCAAAGACAUUAUUUUUAUGUUUGAAGAUAUAUACUUAAAACUUUUUUAGAACAACCAUCAAUGAAGGUCAACAUAUAUCCCCUAACACCAUGUGAUACUAAUUAAGAAGGACCUUAAGAUCUUAAUGGAUGUAAUCAAAAUUACCUUUAGUCUUGUGAAUGGUUGUACUAAAUUUAACCAUGCAUAAUUUUCCAAAUACAUAAAAAUCCAACUCCCAUUUUUUUGUCCAUCAAGCAAACCUCGUUUGCUCAAAAGUGGUAUCCUUCUCUUGAUCAUAUGCCCAAAUUGCAUAUGUAACAAAUGCACACGUACUUUGCAAUACAUAAAAAUAAUUAAUUUUUUUGUCAUUUCAUCACAACAAGAACACCACUUGAGAUUCUCAUAACUCCACAUUUGGCUUUAUAUGUGCAUCCAUUGGAGUCAAGUGUACCCAAAGAAAUCAUUUUUUUAAACGUUAUAACAUGUUUUAUAUUAAUUAAUGUCCUUAAGUAUCGUCAUGCAUCUUAAUUUGAAUUGUAUCUAUCUAUCUUAAUAAUUGUACAAACUACUUUGUUUUCUAUACGAACCUACUCAACAUCUAUAACUUAGAAGGUGCUAAAUUAGUUCCUAUUGUGAGACAUAUGAUAGGAGCAUUCUAAGUCAAGACAUAUGAUAGGAGCAUUCUAAGUCAAGAAUUCAUACAUUGCCUAAAUUACCAAUAAUGAUGGCAUAGAUAUUUGGACUAUCCAAUCAAAGGAUAUAUGCACUAUAAGUAAAAACUUUUUCCUUUUCUUUUAAUUUUUAAACAAUUGUCCACAUAAUGUCCUUAUUGUAAUUGAUACACUUGUUUCUAUUGAAAUUCAAUUUAAAUAGAUUGACCUUUUUUACCAUUAUUUUUCUUUUGUGUUCUUCCUUUAGUCAACAAACCUUGACCUAAGUUUUCUUCUCUACUCUUUCAUACACUCAUUUCUUUUACUUCUUUUAGUUUAGGGCUACCCUAUCAUUAUUUAGGGUGAGAGUAUAUUUACCAUAUAUCAUGGUGUCUACAAAAUGCUCAUAAGAAUUUGACAGGGAAUAAAUCAAAAUCAUAACAUAGCAUUCAUUAUUAAUUCUAACAUCAAUCUUUUCUCAAAUUCGUAAUGGUUUUAUUGACCUUAUGAUGAUCGUCCUGAAUGAAGGUACGUUUUUGCAUCUUGAGAGUGAAUGGCCACUUCUUCAAAUAUAUGUGAUUUGCAAAAGAUAUCAUCAUAUACAAACUUUCCAACUUCAAUCAUAAUUUAACAAUUGUAUCUUUUAUCUCACAAAAUAUCUCAUUCUCUUAAUGCAAUACAAUAACAUUAUAUGUUUUCCUUGUAAGUUAAUUCCUUUUUUUUUUUUUUUUAAAUAGAUAUUAUUGUUGGUAAAGACUUGCUACCUCCCAAUGCUUUGAACAACUCUUGUAAACCAAAAAAGGAGUGCAUCUUAACACAUAAAUUGAAAUUGUUUCUUCCAUCAAAAUUCUUGGCCUAAAUUUUUAUCAUCAUUCCAAGAUUAAUAACCUUAGUUUUGAUAUCAAUUUCUUGGGAAAAACCUUUACAAAGAAUGAAAAAAGGGAGAAGAAAAUAAGAGAAUAAAAAAAAAAAAAAAAAGCACACAAAGACUUGUGCACUUCGGUCUAAAUUUUGCACACAAAAACUCACGUGGCUCUCCUAAAAAAACUCACUAUUAUUUAACUAGUAUUUUUCCUAAUCACAUUGGGAUAUUCUAUAUAAGAAACUAAUCCUCAUAAUAAUUUUUAUUUUUUUAUUUUUAUAGUAGUAGGAAAAUUGUUUAUAUAAGAAUGUAUUCUAACAAGAAAAAAAUUCAAAGAUUUAUAAAUGGACUCAAAAAGAAUCUAAGAAAUUUUCUUAUAUUUCCAUUUUUUUUUUUCCUAUGCUGCCUCUUUGGUAAAGCCAAAGGGCACUACCCUUAUCAACUCCAAACCUCUGGUACUUUGUUAAGGUCCACCAGUAACCUUUUUUUAUUCUAAACUAGGGACCUUCUGCAUGGGUUACUGAUACAGGGCCGUUGCAUGCUUUAAAAACUUGUAAGCUGUUGGGAUACUUUUGGUUUACUCAUUAACAUCCAAAGCAUAGGCCAAUUACUUUAAAAACUUGUAAGCUGUUGGAAUGCUUUUGGUUUACUCAUUGCUAUGUUGUCUGUCUAGUGUGCCAAGCAUUUGAUGUGGAAAUUCAGAAAAAGGGGAGAGGAUUUGCCAUGGCAACUUCUACAAUUCCCACACACACUUCGACAGGGAAGUUCCGUUUUCCUUUGUGAGGGCAGCAAUAUGCCAUGGUGAGUAAAGUUGAUCAACUCAUCAGAAUGCACAUGGGGCAUCUACUUGUUUUUCUUUAUGUCGUGGAUCCUCAUUAUUUGUCACCAUCCAUCUCAAUUUAUCUUUUUCCCUUUAAUUAUAAUUAGCGAAAAAGGGAUUUGGGCUAUAAAACAAUGCUUCAUUCAACAUUCAAAUUUCAAGUUCUUUUAGUACUAAAGGGUGUUUUUCCCUUUAGUACCAUUCAACAUGCAGCAUGAGGACCCAUGCAAAAAUUUCAGCACCAUUCAACAUUCAACAUUGUUUUUUUUAUAGAUGAUCAGCCAAGUAGGUAAUCAAUGUCAAUAUUGCACCAAAAAGACGAGAAAAAAAAAUACAAAAUGGAUAUAUAAAUGAAUGAAUGAGUUGGAUCACUUUCUAGCUAUGAAAUGUUGCUUGGUUUGAUGACUUUGACCCCCCCCCCCCCCCCCCCUCUUUUCCUUUUUCUCAGGAGGGAAAGGGGAUGGUGCUAGAGGCUAUAACGCAGUGAUCUUGAAGCAGCCAGAAGUUGUAGCUAAAGUUACACAUCAAAAUCCCCAAAAACAGAGACACAGUUAUUUUCCUGUUUGGCUUUUCGUCUUAAGAUGACAGGUCUGUUAUGAAAUUGACGUGUAGCAACAUUUUCCUUGGUUACAAACUGACCUAUUUUGCUCUGCGUCAUAGUGAUGGAUACAUGCCUCUGAAACACUUAACUAAUAACGGUGUCCCAGCAUUUUGGAGUACUACUAAGGCAGAUUGCAGACCCUGCAUAUUGGUUUCUCUGUUUCUGUACCACAGCGUCAAGAACCCCGAAUUAUCCGAAUAAUUAUAACUACUUUUUUUUUUUCUUAAUAAUUUUGGCAAAAGAGCAAGCACAGCUGUCCAGAUGUGUGAUGAUAGUGUGGUGUGGGCCGGUAGUGGCCGCGAGGAUUUCUGAUAUGAGCAACUCCGAAGAAGCUUUGCUUGGGAACACCUUUAUUCCCAGAGCCACAUCCUCGACUUAAUUAUCUGAUAGUGUGUUUGAUUGAUGAUUGGUUGCUUUAUAUGACUUUUUACUUUAUCCAAAGUAAUAUGCUUUGCUUUAGCAAUGUGCUUUGCUGAAAAGGAGCAUACCCAGAAACUAUUGCCUUCAAUUAUUAAUUCCAUCAGGGAAAAUAAUGAACCCUAAAGAUAUUCCCAUGAAAAUAAAUAAGGGUUGUAGCUUUGUUAUCUAGUAUGGCGCAUGUUCCACGUUGUGCAUAUGAAACUCUAAUUGUAAGUUGGCAAGAAUUAGUCCUAAAUGUACAAUCAACAAAGCAUGAAUUCUAGGAAAAAGACGAAUGCCCUGUUUCGUCCCUAAUGCUAUAAGUAGCCAUCUCAUCCUCCAGUUAGCUCUUACCUUCCUCCUAAAAGCCUCUUCUACAGAAGCAAAGAAAGUGAGGCGCAGCCAUGUCUAGUUCAUUUUUCAUUGUUGUGAUAACCUUGUUCAUCUUGGGAUGCCAAGGACAAAAUCCAAAACGUGGCCUCCCUCCCCCUCAAGGACAAUAUCCAACACGUCCCCCCCCUCCCCCUCGUCUUCCUCCGCGUCCACGAUUUCCAAGCUUGGGAGGUCCACUUCUCCCACGUCAACCAGCCAAUAGGCCCGGACCCCUCAGUAACAGAAACCUUGUUCUGUUCAUAACCCAAGAGCUCAAGAGGAACAUUACAUCUGACCCCCAAAACUAUACAGGCUCCUGGGUUGGCAGGAACUACUGCCUCUUCAAGGGGUUCUACUGUGAUACUGUGCCCGACAAGAACAUUACUGGGCUUGCCGGCAUUGAUUUCAACGGCGCCAGGUUUGGCGGUAACUUAAACUUUUAUCGCUUCAUCCGCUUUCUUCCUGACAUUGCCAUCUUUCAUGCAAAUUCCAAUAACUUCAGCGGCGUCAUUCGUCCAAAUAUCAACAAAUUGAGAUAUUUCUACGAGAUUGAUCUGAGCAAUAAUGGAUUCCAGGGAGGGUUCCCCGUUUCCGUUAUUGGUGCACUUCAAUUGACCUUCGUGGACGUUCGUUUCAACACCUACAAUGGCCCAGUUCCUCCUCGGGUAUUCAGUAUCCAAACUGAUGUUCUCUUCAUCAACAAUAAUAAUUUCGCCCAAAGAAUUCCUAGCGCAUUCGGCAACACCACUGCGCGCUAUAUUACCCUUGCCAACAACGGAUUCAUCGGUUCCAUCCCUCAGAGCAUUGGCCGAACUUGGCAAACCCUAACUGAGGUUCUCUUCUUGAAAAACCGCCUCUCCGGUUGCCUCCCAUAUGAAAUUGGGUUCUUGCAAAUGGCCACCGUUUUUGAUGCAGGGUUCAACACGUUGACGGGUCCUAUACCGCAAUCUUUUGCUUGCUUGAAGAAGCUGCAGCUGCUGAGCUUGGCGCACAACCAGUUCUACGGCAGAAUUCCAGACUCAUUAUGUCGGCUACCCAACGCAUACAAUUUUACUUUGUCAUAUAAUUACUUCAACUCCAUAGGUCCAUACUGCAAGAGGUUGGUGAACAUUGGGAGGCUCGAUGUGAGGAGGAACUGCAUUACGGGUUUGCCGAAUCAAAGAUCUGCAGCGGAGUGUACGGCCUUCUACUCCGUAUCUAGGACAUGUCCGCGCCCGGGUUCCUUCAACGUAAUUACUUGUUCGAACCCAGCUGCUUCAUUAAGCAGCGCCCAAGUUGCUUCACUACAAGCAAUGGCUCCGGCUCCCUCACCCGUCACCUACAAAGCCCUUGAGCCUCCCCGAUGAUCCACUGGCUUACGAGUCGAACUAUGUUGGUGAGCUCAUGCUAGAAUAAGGUCUUAUCUACCUGUACGUGUUUGCUUCUCUUAAUUUACUCCGCUCCUUGUUUGGCCAAUCCACUUUUUUUUUUCAUUUUUUUUUCUUUUUCUUUCUUUGGGUUCAUAUCUGUAUGAAUUGGUGCCAUCGUUAUUCCUAUGCAAAGGUUUUCUUCCAGUGUCGGUCAGCUCCUGUAUUUUGCUUUUAAAUGAAUUGGUAUUUCUCCGUAAGAGAAUCAAUCAAGGUGUUUGUGUCCAAAAGUAACGACAUAGCAAUGUUGCAUUUUUUGUUGUGCGGAUUAUACAAGCGGGGUCACAUAUUGGAUGGCCCUGCACCCACCAAUUUCUCUUUCUCCCUGCCCAAUCCGAUUAUUAAUGGGCUCAUCAUCCAUGCUUGACCAGAUUAAGUAUUCCUAGCAUUUUUAUUUUAUUAUCAUUCAAUAAUCAAGCCUGUUUUGAAAUUGUUCUUCAAAAUAGGUUUUUGUUUUUCAUAAUAAUAAAUAGUUUUUUAACUUAAAAAAAAUUCAUGUUUGGCAUUUUUUUUACUGAGAUUAAUCUUUUUGAGAAUUUAUUUUUUAAAAGAACAAAUUGAAGAUGUUAUCAAACAUUUUUUUAGAGUAUUUUGAGAAACAAUUAAAAUAUGAAUAAUAUUUUAAAAACUUUUAUAUUAUACAUAAAUAAGAGAAAAUGAGUUAAGAAAAGUGUUUUUGAUGUUAGGAUUUUCAAAUCUAAUUUCAUUUUAAAAAAAAUAUUUUUAAAACAAUUUUUAAAAAUUAUUAUUUUAAGAACUAUUUUUUAAAAAUCAUUUAAUAAAAUUUAAGGACAUGUUUGAUAACUAUUUUCAAAAAUAGUUUUCUCUUCUUUAGAAUAAAGAAAUAAGAAAAUAUGUAUAAUGAAAAAAACAACUGUUUUUUGUUUUUUGUUUUUAAGAGUAAAAAAUAUAGUAUUUUUAGAUAAUAUUUUUUAAUUAUUUUAUAUUAUUUUCACUUGUUGAAUCAUUUUAAAAUAUUAAAAAUAAAACAUUUUAAAUAUUAUUAAAAAACUAAUAUAAAAGUUAAUUUUAAAACAUAUUUAAAAUAUAUUAAAAAUAUUUUGAAUUUCUAAUAAGACUUUUGUUUUACAAAAUAUUAUAAAACAAUUUUAAAUAUUGUUUUAAAAAAUUGUUCUUAGAUAUUGUUUUUAAGAAAUGUUUUCGAAAACAAGUCCUAAGAUUCCAUUUUCAAUGGAAGAUAUCAUAAUUUUAAAGAAUUUAAUUAGAUUAAAUAAAUAAUGGGACAAACUAAAUUAUAAUUUAGCCGAGAUUCCUCAAUAAGAAAUAUAUGACGAGAUUUAGCUUGACAAGGGCAUAAGUGUAUAAAACUAGACACAAAUAAAUAAAAUUAAAAUAAAAAAAGGCUAUAAAAUAAUGAAAAGUAAUAUAAUUAUAAAGUAAUGAAAUUAAAUUAUAUUUGAGGUGAUGAUUGAUCUCAAUUUUCAUGAAUAUCAAUUCAAUGCUACAAGGAAAUUUAUUAUUAUUAUCUUUUUUUUUAUAAAAAAAAAAUUAUGAGACUUUCGUUUUCCUCCCAUGAGCUGAUCUUUGGUAGGCAGAUGCCUGAGCGCUCGUUAGGAGGAGAAAAAGAAAAGAGAGGGUGAGUAAUGACUGACAACUUAGUUAUUCAUCUUCCAUUAAAAAGGGGCCAUUAGACAUUGCGGGGCAGUACCAAGUGGCCGACUAAAGUAAUAGCAUUACUUUCAACCUCUUGGGUGAGAGCCAGAGCAGCAUAUCAAUCAAGAAGCCAAGAAAAGAAAGACUGGAAUAGGAUCACUGGACUCUGCAGCUUUCUUUGGUUUUUUCCAAUCUUCAAUGGAAAAGAAGGCCACAAGGCCCCACCACAAGAUUUUUCUGAAUUUUCUUUUCCGUUUCCCGAGGAGAUAAUGCCACAGCUUUUUAUUUUAUAUUCUUUUUUUUUUCAUAUAAAAUUUUAAAUGGGAUUUUUUAUUAUAUUAUUUAUGACUUUGAAAAAGCAGAGUCAUGAUAAGACCUUGUUUUAUAUUUAAAUAUCUGAAAAGAAUUAAAGUUCAGCGACGUCAGAGCAUCUUAAAUGAAUUAAGUUGAGAAAAUUUAGUACAUAAAUUAGCAAUAAUUAAUUAAAUAACUAAUAUUAUGAACAAAUUUUUUUACGAAAGCCUUUCUCCCCCAAAAACUCCACACAGACCCUUUAAGUCGGCAUCAUGGGCUUUUACCCCUAAGGAACUGAGAGAUUAUUAGGUAGAACUCUAUCAAUGCCAACCGUUUAAGCUUCUUGGACCUAGGCUUCUUCUCCAAAUCAUGCCAGCGUGAGAGUUCCUUUGCCUUUUGUUCCUUGUAAGCUGCGUAAAUCCUCUUGUCAAACCAACAUGGAGGGUAAGACCAUCCAAAGUACCGCAGAUGGGCUUCCUUACACAAAACUCAUAUGGGGAAUUUACUUGAUGGCUGUUACUGCCGACAAAAAUUAAUUCCACGCGCAUGGUGGUUGUUUCGUUUUUUAAGUAAUAUUUAUUGGUAUAUGGUGGGUAAUUAUAAAUUUUAUAAUUAAUUUUGGAAUCUGUGGUUGAAAGUGCUUGGGAAUGUCGGUUGCUUGAGUGGUGUCGGUGGCAAGAAUUUGAGAAGCGGAGGGUGUAGGGACCCUCCCCACACGUGGCACACAUCUCCUAAAUGACACGUAGCAUAUAUUCUCAUCCGAAUCAGCCUCAUCCGGAUUUCUCCAAGAGUACACGUGGCGCGCUUCUCCUAUCCGGACUCCCUCAAGAGAGGCACACGACACUCACAAACAUAACAUCCGGACGACUGUCACAGCGCAUCCGGACGACCGACAUACACUAUCCGGGUAUGUUUGUCCGGAUCAUUGACUGAAGUAAGCAAGUCUUACACGUUAUCACGACAGCCUGCCAUGGCCCACGUUCCGCCACCUGCAGGGUGAAAGGACAAGAAUGAAGUGACAGCAAGUCACUUCCUGCGAUCACUUCCCACGAUUUCUGACAGUCGCAGCAACUACCACGAUCUCUGUCAGUCGCCCGUAGGGUUAUGAUGACCCUGCCACCACCUAGUGUCAUUAUGACAAUACAAAAUAUCUCUCUACCAUUAAAGAGGGAAACAAAGCUUCUGAUACUAUAUAUAUAAACCUUCACACAAAGAGGAAGGUAAACUUGAUAUACUUGGUAAAAGGUCAAUUGAUUUAUCUUUAUCUCUCUAACCAUGGCUGACAAAACCAUCGGAGGGUGUCCGGACGCCUUUUGCAGGUAUUACGAUUGAAUCAAGAAUCUAUAUUGGUUGAGAUCGUGCGUCCAUCCAUUUAGCAACUACGUGGAUUACCAGGGACACGAGACCUCAAUAGAGGGCAGUGUAAAAGAUGUCUGGGUCCUCCUCUCUUCUCUCUUAUCAUUCAGUAGCCAUAAAUCACAUGUGUGUGUGUUUCUCAACUAUUUGACAUCUGUUGCGUUUGGAAUAUUUGUAUCUAAAGAUCCUUCUCCUGUUAAGAUUGGAAUUCAUUGCAAUGAAAAUAUUUAAUCUAACUUUCAAUAAAAAAAAUCCUAUAAAGAAGUUGAAUAGCUUUCUUGGAAUUAUCCAUCACUGAUUAAGGAUUAAUGUGAAGUUCAAAUAAAUUUUCCUAACUGAACUGCCAGAUCCUUCUUUUAGUAAGACUGAAUUAGUUUUAAUUUUUUGGAUGAAUGAGUAAACAGUGUAGAACUGACGCUAGAGGAACAAGAAAAGUCUGACAAAUGGCUCUGGUGUGCUCAAACUAUUCAGAGAACUUGCAGUGAAUGGAAGUGUACUAUGAGCCUCUUCAUCUUUUAAUAUUCAUCCGUUUCAUAUCAGUAAUUUAACGCAAGACCGACAGAUUAAUUUAGUUAAAUAAAUUUUGAGAAUGCACUUUCAUUUUCUGGAAACUAUCCUUUCUAUCCGAACAUUAAUUAUUCAUUUUAGGCGGGAGAAAUUGGAGCAGUUGCUUCCUCCACCAAGAUCCAUUUAUUGUUUUUGCUUGGCCAUUCUUUGGCUAGCUAGUUAUGUUUUUGCUUGUCAAAUAUCUCUUGAUUAAUUUCAGAAUAGAAGAAAAGAGACAAUGAGCGGCCUUUUCUCCAUCAGUACUAAAUUUUCAACCUUGUGCAUAUGCCUCAUAUUUCUUGCCAUCAAUACUGAAGGAGAGAGUAGCAACAGAGAAAUUUUGGAGCUCACUAUUGGUGGCGGCAGUGGCGACAGAGGCGGUGGUGGAGGUGGAAACAGAACACAAAAGGUGAAACUUUGGAAUCCAUUUUGUUCACUUCCUCCCCACUUUGCAUUGCAAUUUCCACCACUACCAUACGGUAUACCACCACCACCACCUCCCGUCGGACCAGAAGUUUUGGUCUUUGACGACCAAAGGCGCGCUGUGGUUUACCCUGUCAUCCAAAAAUUCAAGGCCAUAAUCACCUCAGUCCCUCUAGGCAUCGCCAAAUCCUGGCAAGGUUUGGACAUAUGCAGCUGCAAAGGAUUCUACUGUGACAAUCCACCAGACAACAAAACCGCCAUUGCUCUCGCCUCCAUUGACUUCAACGGAUUCCAGCUUGGCGCCCCCACCCUCGAUGGCUUCAUCAACCAACUUACAGACAUUGCUCUCUUUCAUGCAAAUUCCAACAACUUUGCCGGCACCAACCCUCCGGAUAUUGCCAAGCUACCUUGUCUCUACGAGCUAGACAUAAGUAACAAUAAAUUGUCAGGCUCAUUUCCAAGGGCAAUUUUGGGAAUUAAAAGCCUAACCUUCUUGGAUAUUCGGUUCAAUCUCUUUACUGGGUCCGUACCAUCUCAAUUAUUUUCACAGAAUCUUGAUGUCCUCUUCAUCAAAGAUAACAAUUUCAGGCAGACGCUGCCUGAUAACCUGGGCAACACUCACGUUCUUUGUCUUAUAUUUUAGCCAACAACAGAUUCAUGGGUCCUAUCCCACGAAGCAUUAACAAAACUUUGUCCACUCUAACUGAAGUUCUCUUCCUAAACAAUAUGCUAACUGGUUGUCUGCCCCUCGAGAUAGGAUUUUUAAAGGAGGCCAGGGUGUUCGAUGUAGGAAACAAUCGGCUUACAGGUCCAAUACCAUUCUCCUUGGGUUGCCUGGAGAAGGUGGAGGAGCUCAACUUUGCCGGUAAACUCUUCUAUGGAAUGGUGCCAGAGGUGCUUUGUCAACUCCCAAAUUUGUUGAAUUUGUCUUUGUAUGAUAAUUAUUUUAUGCAAGUAGGGCUAGCAUGUAGGAGCUUGAUUUGGAAGGGGCUCUUGGAUAUUAGAAAGAACUGCAUUCCUGAUCUGCCAUUUCAAAGAUCCGUAGCUGAAUGCGCAGAUUUAUUUCAGUACCCAAGGUUCUGUCCUUACAUGAACUCACAUUCCUUGCAAGCCUCGGCAUCUUGGUUCUCCGGGUUCUUUGAUUCCCUAAAAUGGCUGCUUAGCCUUGUCAUUCUCUUUUCAUGCAAACCACUUUGAAUUAUUCUGAACAUGUAUGCAGGGUCAUUCUUUCACUUCUUCAAUGGAAUGAGCUGAAAUCAAGAAAUAAUCAAUCAUCUGGUAGUCAAUUUUGAUACGCUCUUCACAAAAUUCCAUACCUUAGACAUGAUAUUUGAGUACCCCCGCUACAUGUCAUCGGAGAGAAACUGUUAUGUGGUUCAGUAACACGAUUGCUAUUAGAAACCUUGCAGGUUUGGUAUGGGAAAAAAUACAGUCUGUUUGCACCCUAUGAAAUGUUCCAUGAAAGAAACUGGCUCUCAUUGCCCAGCCCAGCGUUGACAUUGAACUGCAAAACUGAAAGGACGUACUUUAUCAUGUGAGAACCUUUUGCCUCACACCCUCUAUUGAAUUCCAGAAGGCAGGAAGGUUAUGAGUAAAUUAUGCCAUGUAGAGUGAGAUUCAAAUGUAAUUUGACAUGUACACAUAGUACAAGGUUUCUCCCAGGGGUAAACAGGACCAAAAUUUAAGGUUUUAAUGCUCCUGCAUUUACCAACAAUGCUCAGUUAUAGUUCCUUACUGUGUAUCACUGCAAUUAAAGGAUAGACAGCCCAAUAUAACAGUAGAUCGAAAAAUGCCAAAAGAAAAGGUUAUAUUCCAAAGGAUAUUGAAGAGACCAUUGGAAAAUUCGUGUUGUUGGUAAUACGAUUUGCAAGAGUAUACAAGCAUUGCAAGAGGAUAACUUCACUCCUCUUAGUCCUGGCAUCCACUGAGAACCAUUUUCUCCAACCCUCUACCUCUCCCCUAUUCCAGUUGUUGAUAUAUAGGACAGAAUUAAAGAAAAAUCAUUCCAAUCCUAUCUUCUGCUGCAACCAUGCGGUCCAGCUCAGGAAGAACCGUUUAAUGAAUAAAUUAUCAUUCAACAUGUGAUCUUUAUUGCAGAGCAUUGUCACUGGUCACUGCUCUUGAUAUUAUAUCUUUUUAUUGUUAGUGGUGAGCAUCCGAUACCUAGUGGAAGUUUCAAGUUUCCAAUGUUUUAUAAUCAGAAUUAAGAAAAUAACCCUUUGGAGUUAUCCUGCAGUACUGCUUUCUUUUCCGCGCCAAUAAGUUGCCAUAUGUUUAAUUUGAGGGUGUAAGUUCACAAACGAGAUCAGAUUCGUCUGGAUGGGUCAUGGCUUCCUUGCAGUUAACCCUUGGUGGCCCUUGAUCAUAUCUUUGGUUUAAUCAUCGGAGUAAGCAUUUCAAAAAUGUGAAUGAAUAGACUGCAUAUGGUGCCACGGCAGAAAUUCUAGUUGGCCUAUUAAUGCAUGCUUUAGUGAAACUACUUAAGCGGAUGAAUAGUAGUCUUAGUUCUUAAGCCUAAAAUUCCGUCCUUUUUUUUUUUUUAUUGAAAAAAAAAAUUACCACUCUUUUUUACAAGUUUAUCUUACAAAUGAAAGCAAGAGGGUGGGAAAAUAUUUGAACUCCCAACAGGGUAACAAAACUUUUGUAAGCCCUGGUGGUUUGGUGCUCACUCUUUGUGCCAUGAAGUCAUGCCAUCAAAUCCCAGAUUCCAACAAGCUCAACUUUUCAACUCUAUUAAAUAGCCCGUCCGGAGGCCCAACGGGCCAAAAGGGAGAACCGAGUCAGGAUUCUCAAAACAUUGAUGCUAACAAUAUGGAUCAAUCCAAACCUGUAACAUUUUUUUUGCUGUUUCAUCACUUAGCUGCUGAUUUGGAAUUGCAACAAACAAUAUAGAAAGCUCAUCAUAUGGGCAAAACCAAAAUGGGCCAGAAAUAGCUUCUUGUUCACAACACUGAAAUCUACUAUCUCAAUUCCAAGUCUAGGACGAUGCAGUUACUUCUGGUGCAAUUCUUGUCCAUACUCAGGUAGACAAAGUCCUAAAACGCAUAAGCGCAAUCUUUUUUUAAAGUUAACCACGCAUAGUUUAAGUUAAAGAAGUGGUAACUGACUCUAAUGAAGAUUUUAAGUGGAUAUGAAAAUAACCAAUAAUCAACAUUAUUAUAUUAAUUAAGGUGCUUCUACUUUUGUUUCUAAUUUUGCCCUGUUCAAAUAUAUAUAGAAAGAGACGAAGGUUCAGCUCAUAGGCAAGGCGACAGUUGCACCCACAUGUCUUUGCUUCUCGAGGGCAUAACCACUUGGGCAACAGAAACUCGUGGGAGGAAGAGAUUUCUUGUAUUGUACCCUGCUGCUAGAUUUUUUCUCCAUGAUUAUAUGUUUAACUAGCAUGAAUUGAAAUAGAGAGGAAGCACACCAUGUGGUGUGGUGGAGGGCUGGGAAUGCAUACUUAGCCUUCAAAAUGUUAACCCAACCACACACAUUCAGAAAUAAAAAAGCUGAAGAGAUUUUAACGUGCUUUAACUAUCAAUAGAGUCUCCAUGUUUAUGAAGCACAUCAACACUCAAAAAUAUACUAAUCUAAUAUAGUACCCGAGCUCAAUGAAGAGCUCGACCUUUGAAAUUUCCUGCCUAGCUAGUGCAAUAAAGGCUGAUUCAAACUUCUGAAUCUAACAUAAAAACUAUACCUUCAAUUGCAUGAUCACGCUUGAUGGCCAUUCUCCAUGCUGAUGGAAGUCCAGUGCAAGCUGCGUCAAUUUUGGAAUCCUGCAGGCAAGGUACUAUGAUGCCAAAAGACGAACAAGUGGCCAUCAAAUUUGAUGGGUCUUUCUUUUGUCUACAUCCACAUGCCCCCCUAAAUUUGCUACGAAAAUAAUUGAGCCCACUGUUUCGAUCAUUCUACCAAAUAAUUUGGGAAAAGAAAGCACACAAUUCCACAAUCUGUACUGUGCCUUUUUCCACGCCCACCUCAUGGAACAUGUCUCCAAUCUCCAGCCUAGAAGGUGAAGGAAACAGGAGCAAACUAAUUAUAUCUAAAAUUGACUUUAUCCAUUUGCAGUUGGAUAUUAGCAAUACAACUCCACAAAAUUGUCUUUUUCCAACUUCUCGUGAGUUGAAUGACUGAUUUCUUGGAGAACUUACCAACUGUGUAAGGAAAUUACCCAAAACUUGUCCCCCACUUAACUUGGGUACUGGAUUUGUAUCUAACUAUGCUGACUCAGAAUGCCUUAUGGAGGACAUUUCUUUUGGUUGAUGCAUAGCUUUUACCUUACGUUUGUCUAGUAUCAUUAGCUGUCUUCCUAUAUCCUCUUUCUAACACUAUUAAAUUUCUUUGCAAGUACUCUUCAAGGAAUCGAAAUAUGUAUAUACAUAUAUAUAUAUACAUGUACACACUUGCACAACUUGGAGGGUUUGUGUUGACAAACCCAACCCAAGUUUCAAUGGCUAUUCAAUGACUUAGAAGAAAGUUCCCCAACCAUCCAGCUGUUGUUGCUAUGAAUUUUUCUGACAUUAUAUAAAACCUAAGCUUAAUUAGUAAAUGUGUUUAUGGUAAUUUUGAUCUAACCUGCAGGAACAACAAAUGUACUCCUGUACGCUGACAAUUAUAUUUUGCAUGUUUUCUAAACCAAUUCACUGGUUAUAUUGGGCAAAUUAACUUGUCUUAAGGUGUGUUUGUUAGUUGAUCAGUGUGAAAUUAACACACCAGAAAAAGUUAUACAAAAUGGAUUAUAAAAGGUCUAGGUUUAUUUUAGUCCAACUCAGACCAGGAAGAAGCUAACCUCACAUGGCAUAACCUAUCCCAAUCCAUGAUUUAAUCAGAGACCUAGAUGCUGUUGGCUGAGGGAGCGGUCAGCGUAUUCAUCAUUUGGCCCUCAACUCAGACAGACAUUGAACCCUCAUAAACUAAUAUAUGCUUGAAGCUCACAACAUAUAUUUGUCAGUGGACAGGCAGUCAAACCCCUAAUCACAUGUCAACAGAUGAGACAAGGAUCUUGAUUAUAAAUAGUAGGAAAUCUUAAUAUUAGUGGCGAAAUGCAAAGAAAUAUAUAGCUUGAAACUUUGGGCAGUCUCAAAGAUGGUUGUAUGUGGUAAAUUGGAAGGAGCCAAAUUCCCAUUAUACAUGUGCACAUAAUAGAAGUGAAUAGCAUUACUUUUAUCAUUCGGUUUAAACUAAAUUAAAUGAAAACUCCAUCCGGCAGAAUUUCUAUUAAUUAAAAACAAUAAAGUUAAUAAGUGGUGGAAAGUGACCUGACGAGGUCAGCCAGAAAGGAAUAGGGAAUUGGACAACAUCAUAUAUGGUGCAUGAAAAGCAUUAAUCAAAAUUUGUCAUUUUAUCUGGCUAGAUCGAUGGAUGGACCCGUAAAUGUUGAGGGUACCUGUGUACGUGAAUCCUGCUAUAUCCUCACGGACAAUGGCUUCGGGGUUUUUUACAAUCGUACGGUAAAUUUAAAAUUAAUUUUUAUAAUAUAUUACAUUAAAAAAUAUUUACAAAUCUUAAAGAUACACGUUAAAAAAAAAAAGAAAAUUUACUAUCCAUUACAUGGGUUAAAAAAAUUUGAAUUUACAUUAAAAUUAUAUCACCAAAAGACACUUUUUACAAUUUUAUAAAAUAGAAUUUAUAUUAAAAGUCUUUUAAAAAUAUCGUUUUUCAUAAUUUUCAUAUCAAUUGUAUAAUAAAAAAUUUAAAUUUAUGCUAAAAAUAUCUCUGUAAAAACACUUUUUAUAAUUUUAUAAAAUUAAAUUUAUAUUAAAAGUGUCCUAAUAAAAAAACACUUUCAAUAAUUUUGAUAUUAGUUAUCUAUUGAAAUUAUUAAAUUUAUAUUAAAGGUAUCACUUUAAAAGAUACUUUUCAUAAUUUUAUAAAAUUAAAUUUAUAUUAAAAAAUUUUAUUUCAAAAAAUAUUUUUAAUAUAAAUUUAAUUUUUUUGAUAAUUGAUUAAUAUAAAAAUAGUAGAAAGUAUUUAUUUAAAAGAUAUAUUUAGUAUAAAUUUAAUAAUUUUUUUAAUAUAUAUGACUGAUAAAAAAAAUUAUGAAAAAGUGUGUAUUGAAGUGACAUCUUUAGUAUAAGUUUUAAGUUUUAAGUUUUUAUUCAACGUAUAUCGUUAACAUAAAAAAUGUGGAAGACGUAUCUUUAAGAAAUAGUUUUCGAAGUGAAAAAGUAAUUAUAACUAUUUUAAGAAUUUUUUUCCAAACUAAAGAAGUUAAAAAAGCCCAUGGCUGCAGUCUCCAGAUCAUGAAAUACCUUUCUUCAAUCAACUAUAAAGGACGGAGGGAAAUAAAAAAUAACAGGGAAAGAAAGAAAUUUGUUUCUUUUAAGGAGAAAACGCGGGGUAAAGUUGAAUUUGAUUCGCCAAAUCAUUUGGACAAGGGAUCAAAUCGGGUUAAGAAUAAAAACAAGGGCGGGUGAAGAGGGGGUAGGGCGGUUAAAUAAGACUCCAUAAAAGGUUAAAACUUAAAAAGAGAAUGGCCUAGUGAAGCAGCUGUUAAAAUUUUGGUGUAAGAAGAGAAGCCGUACAGAUAACAUUUUAAAUUUUUUAACACAAUGGGAUCAGACAGACUUUCCUCUGCUCGCCUCUUUUUUUUACUUGCCCACCUUCACGUGAUUCUGAGCUUGCAGUCCGACAGCUGCUCUGUCACGUUCUGCACCCUGCUCACUUCCCUUCUCCCCUCUAGUGUCGUACCUUCUUCUAUCCCCAUUCCCUCUUCACUCUCCCAAGCCUAAACCCUAACAGGGAACGAAAUGCAUGAUCAGAGUAGAUGCUGCUGAAGUUGUAGAGAGACAGGGCUCAGCUGGCAUUAUUGGCUUCUCUUUCUGAUUCACUAAAAAUGCUCAAUACUACACAGUCUCUUGCUCCGUGCUUGUUUAUUCUCUCGGUCGCUUUUUUGACUGCUUCUUCCACUGCUGCCACUCAUCCACCGCAUGCUGUUUCGCCCUCGCCCUCGCCCACGCUACCACCAUCUGAUGCCAUUGCCCUUGUCAUGUUCAAAUCCAAAGCCGACUUGGGUAACAAGCUUCGCUUCACUGCAAGCACCAGUCUCAAUUACUGCUAUUGGCAAGGAGUCACAUGCCUCCGAGGGAAAGUGGUGCGCCUAGUUCUGGAAGGGCUCGAUCUCGGUGGGGUUUUUGGUCCUGACACAUUGAGUCGUCUUGACCAACUUAGAGUCCUCAGUUUGCAGAACAACUCGCUCGUUGGACCCAUUCCAGAUCUCUCCAAAUUCUUCAAUCUCAAGGCUCUGUUUCUUGAUCACAACUCGUUCACGGGCUCUUUUCCACCUUCAAUCUCGUCGCUUCAUCGGCUUCGAACCCUUGAUUUCUCUUACAAUAAUCUGACCGGCCCUUUACCUAUUUGGUUAACAAAACUAGAUCGGCUAUACUACCUGCGACUUGAGUCGAACCGGUUCAACGGAACGAUUCCUCCACUCAACCAGUCCACUCUCCAAACGUUUAAUGUUUCGCGUAAUAACCUCUUCGGUGCCAUACCCGUGACACCUACUUUGUUGCACUUUGAAGCGUCUGCGUUCGCAUUGAACCCUGGUCUCUGCGGUGAGAUUCUUCACAAGGAGUGCCACCCGAGUCAACCCUUUUUUAGUCCAUCAGCGCCGGUCGCCACGCCACCACCGCCAGUGGGUCUUGGGCAAAACGAGCAGGUGCACGGUGUUGAGUUGGCUCAACCGUGUCCGAAGAAUCAUAAGAGAACCGUGGUGAUCCUGGGCUUCUCAUCUGGGGUGUUCGUUCUGAUUAGUUCACUUCUUUGUUUUGUGAUAGCAAUGAAGAGACAGCGAAACCAGAGGAACACAGCGCCGACGAUGGCUUCUGACUCUGCAGCAACAGCCCAGGCUGCGGCCGUGAUGAGAAUAGAAGAAGAGAACGAGUUGGAGGAGAAGGUGAAGAAGGUACAGGGAAUGCAAGUGGCGAAGAGUGGGAGUUUAGUAUUUUGUGCAGGGGAGGCGCAGCUGUAUACUCUGGAACAGCUGAUGAGGGCUUCAGCUGAGUUGCUGGGGAGAGGAAGCAUAGGGACCACUUACAAAGCGGUGUUGGAUAACCGUCUGAUCGUCAGCGUGAAGAGACUCGACGCCGGUAAAACAGCGAUCACAGAUAAAGAGACGUACGAGCGUCACAUGGAAUCAGUUGGUGGACUUCGCCACCCAAAUCUGGUUCCGCUCAGAGCCUAUUUCCAGGCCCAGGAAGAGAGACUCCUCAUCUACGAUUACCAGCCCAACGGCAGUCUCUUCUCCCUCAUUCACGGUAACGUCAUACCCUCUACUCACUGGGUCACUACCUGUCCAGCCUCUUGGACUCGGUUGGACUCAGUGAUUCCACAUUUUCGAUUCCAGUUUUUGUUUGAUUUGAGACUGACUCUGACCAUGGAUAGCCACGUAAACAUGGAAAAUUUAAUCAUAUCCUCGUGGAUGAUUGCGUGGCAUAUUAGUAUUGAAUAUUCCUACCAAUUUCUUUCCUGGGCUCUUCAUCAUUACUCACUUUGAAGUUACUUAGAUUUGGGAGUAUCUCACUUUUCCACCAAUACCACCUAGAACCUCGCCGCUGUCUACGUUGGGAAUUGGUCUUGUGAUUCAAUAGUUGAAUAACACGUUGGUUCGCGAGACUUGAGUCAGCUUAGUGAAGUGAUUAAAGUGCCUGAUACCACUUUUUUCCAAAUCAGAUUUCUAGGGGUAGUACUAUAUUUGAUCCAUUACUUGAUUGCUCAGCCACCGACGGAGGCUACAGUAGGACACCUGAAUCUUGGCCGUUGAUCAUCUUUAUUUAGAAUGCAUCAGGCGCGUGGGAUACCACCUACCUUCCCUAUACUAUGUAUGGUGUUUAACAUAGACGCCCUCCGUAUUAAUGUGCAAUAUCUUAGCUGUCGGCUGGGAUUUGGGAGAAUCCCGGUGGAUUUUUUCUGGCUUUUCAUUUCGGCGGUCCCAUCUGCCACAGAAUUAAAACUAGCGGCAUUAGCAUUUCGCUACCUUUGACCGUGCAAUAAUGAACUUAAGCGGAGCAAAUGUGUUGCUUCCACUAUCAGACAGGAUCCGCUUUGAACACUGUACAAGUAACAUAUCUGCUCUGGCAAUAGAAUAACUUCGCCUUAGUUUUUGAUUUGAUCCAUCGUAAUUUCGCCACUGUAGGGGAGAAUCAGUUACGAGCCAUUCCAAUGAAAUUAAUUAUGGUCCUCCUAAGAUAAAAUAGACAAAACUUUGAAUUUAUUCUAUUUUAGAAUAAUGAUAAAAUAUCGGUAUCCUUUUUUGGAAGAAUGUUUUUAAAUUUGAAUUUGCAUGUGCACGAUCAGGUUCAAAGUCAACGAGGGCAAAGCCUCUUCACUGGACAUCGUGUUUGAAAAUAGCAGAGGACGUGGCCCAAGGUCUGUCCUACAUACAUCAAGCAUGGAGACUUGUCCAUGGCAAUCUCAAGUCCUCCAACGUCCUCCUCGGCCCUGAUUUCGAGGCUUGUCUCACCGACUACUGCCUCGCCGUCCUCGCCUCCCCCUCCGUAGACGACGAUCUCGACUCCGCCUCUUAUAAAGCUCCCGAAACCCGAAAUCCCAGUGGGCAAGCAACGUCUAAAGCCGACGUGUAUGCAUUCGGCAUUCUCCUGCUGGAGCUUCUAACGGGUAAACCUCCAUCGCAGCAUCCGGUUCUAAUGCCAGAUGAUAUGAUGAACUGGGUUAGAUCCACCAGGGACGACGAUGAUGGGGAAGAUAACAGGAUGGGGAUGCUUCUUGAAGUAGCCAUUGCCUGUAGUGUGACCUCGCCGGAGCAGAGGCCCACAAUGUGGCAAGUCUUGAAAAUGAUACAGGAGAUUAAAGAGAGUGUAUUAAUGGAGGACAACGAGUUGGACCCACUCACUGGGUUGUCCUAGCUAUUAUUGUACCACACUCGUCUGUAAUCAGUAAUGCAAAGAAAAAAAGGAAAAAGGUGAAAAAGAAGCAAACAAAGGCCAUGCAACUUCCCUUUGCCUUCUUCUCCUCUGCGCGGUCCUACCUUCAUCUCUAUUACGUGGGUUUCUAUAUUUGAGUUUCUGUAGGUAUCGUGCAGCGCUGCCCCACGUGAUGAUUAUUGAGAAUUAUAUGGUUUUAGCUGCAGAACGAGUAAUCCAAAUCCACUGACAUCAAUUUCUUAUUCCUGCCAUCGCUUCAAGGGAAUCGAUGAAUUUCAUUCUGUGAAAAGAUGUAAUGGCGAUGUGUAUACCAAUCUCUGAAAACACUAAUGAGACCAUUUUUAUAGGCAAAAAUUAAGUGCGAUGGCAAAGUGAUCUAUUGCUCAUCUACUUACGUAUUGUCUUGACUGGAAUCUGCAUAUGGUUAGGUGCAAUGAAGAUUUUAUGUCUGCACCAAAAAGGUCUUAGCAAUCAACAGGGGUCGCUCAGGUUUUGUCAUUGGCAUCCCAAUUCGUACUUCCUUUAUCACAGGGCCCGACUGCUAUAUCUCUUAUCAGUUACGUACUAUAUUUAUUAGAAUUUUUUUUUUUCCUUUUAGAAGUAAAAGUAGAUUAAUCUUUAUCUCAUUUUAAAUCUGUUUAAAUUUUAAUGGUGUCGGAUCUCUUUUCAAGAGAGAAUUCAUAAUAAAAAAAUCCUAAAUUUCAUUUUAUCUCUUUUUCUUUUUGAAUCUAUUUUGGAUUUCAAUAUGGUGUCAAAAGCAAGAUUGAAUAAUAAAUUAAUUUAUUUUUCUAUAUUUUGUUCAUUUUAGUUUAAAAUUUAAUAUUUAUAAUUUUAAAACUUAUCUAAUAAAAGUAAUUUAAAAAUUAAAACAAAACAAAAUUAUUUAUUUUGUAAAUAAUUAUUUAAUAAAUUAAAAAAAAUAAAAUGAUAAUAAAUUUAAUUUUUAUAAACUCAAUUUUCACAUAAAAUUGAUAAUAAAUUUUUUUCUUAAUUUCAAAGUUUAAAAAUUAAAAUAUUUAUUAUUUAUCUUACAAAUAAAAAAAGAAUAUAAAAUUAAAUUAGUUUCCAUUUAUUGUUAUAAUUAACUAAAUUAAUUUAAAUAUAAAAUUGAAAUAAAGACCAAAAUAUUUUUUAAAUUGAUAUCUAACUUAAUAAAAAAUAGUAUUUUUAAAUAUAAGAUGCUAGACAUAAUUUAUACUUUUAUAAAUAUUAUUAUUGAUAAAUAAUAUAUCUUAAUAAUUAUAAUUAUUUUUAUAUAUUAAUUUAGUAGAUAAAUUAAUUAAUUUUAUAAUACAUAUAUUUAUAAUAAUUAUAUUAUUGUACUUGUUUUCUUAUUUUUAGUGAAUAACACAAUGCUAUAUCAUUGUUUAUUCAAAAAGUGAUUUUCUUAAAAUUAAAAUUUUAUUUAUUCUCAAUACUUUAGACUGAUUGAAAAUAAUUGUUAUUAAAAAAAAUAUAUUAAGAAGUAAUGUGGAAGUGAAAAAAAAUAAUAAAUAAAAUUUUAAAAUUAAAAUAUUUAUUGCUUAUAGUAGAAAUAAAAAUGAGUAUAAAAUUAAAUUAAUUGAAAGAUAAAAUUAGAGAUAAAAACCAAAAUAUUGUUUUAAUCAAUAUGAGAUUUUAUAAAUAUUAUAAUUUUAAAUAAUAUAUCAAUAAUAAUAAACAUAAAAUCAAUUAAUUUUAAAAUGCAUAUAUUUAUAAUAAUUUUAUUAUUAAAAUACAUUAUUUGUUAAAAAUUAUUAAAAAUAAGAAAACAUAAAAAGAAAGUUAAUUUUUUGAAAUCGUCUUCCUCAUGAUUGUUUUUUAUUUUAAAUAAAUCGUCUUUUGAAAAGACGAUUUCUUCUUUUAAUUUUUCUUUAUUUUUUUAAAAUUAUCUAUUCAAAAGACUAUUUUAAUAUAUAAUUUUUUAAAUAAAUAAAUAAAUAGAAAUCAUAUUUUGAAUAGACAAGUUUUUCUUUAAAGAAUUUUUAGAAAUAGUCUCUUGAAAAGAUGAUUUUUUGUUAUAAUUUUUAUUUAAAUAAUAAUAAAAAUAAAUUGUCUCAAAGGAUUUUUGUCCAUAAUUUUUACUUUAAAUCCAAUCUCUCUUUCUUAAUUGACAAAAACUAGAAUAGAUUCGGAAAUAUUUUUUCCAUUACCCUAACUCAUGGUCGGUCAAGUCUGUAAUCUUAGAUAACUUAUUAUGAUUAAUUUAUUGUUUUGAUUGAUCUAUACUCUGACCUUAAAGCACAACAAAAUAAAUAAUUAAAUAAAACUAAAGAAAAGAAAGAAAAAAAAUGAAAAAUCAAUGAAGUUAUUGCCUAAAGGGCUUGGACUUGGGUUGGAAUUCCUUUAAGAGGACGGAAGAAUUAGGUAUAUGGGCUUAAAUAACCAUAGGACAGAUCAUAGCCCAAGAAGAUACUGGGAAGAGGGCCAACCCAAAACCAAGCUCUGCAAAUCCAAAAAUCUUCCUUGGUGAGAGACGAGGAGAAGGGGGUGCGGGGUGAGGGGUCCUGCUGGAAAUUGCUGGAAACAUCUAGUCGCAACACAAAUACUUGCUAAUUACCUAGGAUGGAAAGAAGAAGACAGAAACAAGGAGAGGAAGAAAAAGGGAAAGAAGAAAAAUUUAGACCAGAUGCCAUGGACAGGGAGGACUCAGAAAUGAUGGAUACAGAAACGGCGGCGUCGGGAACCAACCAGAACGACGUCGUUAAAGACUUACUCUCGUUGGCUCGCCAACUCAUCAAUGAAGGGAAGCCCUCUCAGGCCCUCCAAACGGUACUCCCACCCCACAUUCAAUUUACCAACUCCUUUUUCUUCCAUCUAUCUUCUUUUCCUAUUUCUUUAAUUUCUUCCUUUACUUCUUUCCGUAAAUGCUUCCCUAUGUUUGAUGGUUCGAUUCUUUUCCUUUCCUCUGAAAGAAGAUUUCUUUUUAAUGCUUCUGAUUUUUAGAUGUAUUUUGUAAUUUUUUGGCUGAAUUUCUGGGGUAAUCUUGUAUGGCUUGCUGUAUUCAGUGUUGCGGAAAGGGUUUUGUUCUUGAGAUAAUGAUGAUUACAUGUGCCUGGGUUAUGGAUUUCACAGGAGAAAUGGAUGGAUGUCCUAACGAGGCAUCUGGGUUGGGUGAUUGUGGGACUGUAAGGGGCAUCUUUGAUCGCCUGCUACCGUGAUUGGUAUGGAUUAAAGCCCACAUUGCACCCAUCUUUGGCGAUGUUAAGAAUCAAAAUCUUGGUGAGUUACUUGCAAUUGAUGACCCAUCUAAUUCUAUUCCGAAUGGCUUUAACAUUAGAAAGAGCUUCUUGCCAUGGGCUGGCAGUGCUAUGGGUACAGGUUGAGCAAAUAACUUUGACUUUGGAGAGAGCCUUAGAGGACCAUGCCAACUAAAAUAAGAAAGAGCUUAGGAAGGAUAGCAAAUAGAAUCACCCAAUGAAUUUCAUGACAGUAAGCGCUAAUUCCUGAAGAAAAUAAAGUUCUGUAAAAGUUUUGAUAGCAGGGGAGUGACACGAUCACUGUUACAAACAUUUUUAGAUCAAGAGAGGUGAGGGAACUCUAAAAGGGCAAGAGAUGAAUAGAUUUAAGGGAAUUUGAGACUACCAUAAAGUCACUUGUAAUCUACCUAUCAAAUAAUCAAAUGAAUAAAUAGUUCACUUGUGAUUUGUUGAUGGGUCUGAGAGUGCAACUUACAUCAGCCAUACGACAGAUAAAUGGAUCCUAAAUAGCAUGAAAUUGAUUGGAAAAUUUCAGUAAAUUGGGUUCUAUGGUUACCCAAAACUCUUGGAUAACACUCAAGGUGGAACUAUCAGAACCAAUUCCAUAUUCCCCAUCAAAUUAAAAGUACUAAUCAGCCAUCUGUCAUCCUAAGUCCUUCAAACCAAAGAAUUUUUAUUUUUUUUUUAUAGGUAAAUUUUUGUCCCCAUUGGGACUUGAACCUUGAACCUCCCACAAACCCUCCCCAUCCCUUUACCACUUGAGCUAGGCCUCAAGGGCUUCAAACCAAAGAAUCUUAUGUUAGUGGGAAGCAUGUUUAGAUCACAAAUUAGAAAAAUAGUGUUGAGAGAAUCUAUUUAGAUGGUCCUCCUUCAUGAUGUAUUCCCUGCUGAACUAUUUGAUUGAAUAUUCUAGUACUUUGGACUACCCUCAGACUUGAUUGUAGAACAAUUUUGUUCCUGAAAAUAUUCUAGGAUAUCAUUUAGGCUCUGAUUUUUUUUAAUGAUUUUCGCACUAUCAUCCAAACUAUUAACUCUCUGACUACACAAGUGACUUCUGUUUGCACUUUAUCUUGACAAGCCAAUUCCUUCUUCCUUCAAACCUGUCAACUAAUGUUUGCACCCUGCAAUAAUUUUUUCAUGAUUUUAGAUCUUUCUCAAUCACUAUUAGUUAUUGAGCCCCCACCUCUCAAAAUAUCAUUGUCAGAAUGAUGAGAAAACCAUAUCAACAAUGCAUGAUGGCUUUUUAUUUAUCCCAACCUACUAUAUGACAAGGAUACAAAAUACAAGCAUCAUUUGAGACAAAUAUGCAGCUAAUCUAAUUAUGGGUAUAAUCUAGUUCUGACACUGCCCAUAUAUGAGGUGCCUGUCAUAGGAAAAUGGAUAAAAGAGAGGGGGGAUGGUAAGGGAUACUGCCUGUGACGUAGUCCUUGGAGUUGUCCCUAAAAUUGGAGAAGUCAGUGAAAUAAUGCCUGCAUGUUGCAUCCCAUUGGUUAUGUUUCAUUCAUUCCGUUUCUUGACUCUUUGCAUGCCAAUAGGGCCAUAGACUGCAAAGCAUUUUAUUGUGUGGCACAUUUCUCUACUCACUGUACUUUUGACUACAUGAAAUUAGAAGAAUAUGAAUAUCUUUUAGGCGCUCUUCAUCAUACUAGAUCAUGGAGAUAGAUUGUUUCUAUUGUAAUUCUUUUUAUGUUUAUGUACUCAUUGUGUGUGCGGAAGAUUCAAAUUUUCCUUCAAUGGAUUUUCAGUGUGCUUGAAAUUCUAUAAUGGUUUCAUAGCCUUGUAUGAUUCAAACCCCUUUGGUUGCUUUGUGCAUGCAUGUAUUGCUAUUUCUCUAUUAAGUUCUUUGCACCAUUGAUUGACUAAAAAAAUGAUGGAAACAUUUUAUAUAUAACUUAAGAGCCAGAAAGCAUAAAUAUAUUAAGAAUACAAGAAAUGGUCCUUUGAACGAUUCUAUCUUGAGUACUUAUGCAGUGUUGGAAACAGGUUGUUAUGGCAAUGAGAACCAGAGGUGGAGAUGAGGCUAUAUUUCAGUCUCUACACCGAGCUCGUGAGCUAUAUAGAAAUAGACUGCAAGCCAAUGCUGCUGCUGAUCAGUUGGCUUGUUUGUUUGCUGAGUGUGCAAUUGCAGAAGUCGAGCCUUGCAAUGCUGAACCUUCACCACAUG
rnacentral:lncRNA from 1 species